GCUACAAGCCAGGUCAUCGAUCCCGCGCUUCCAGCGGGGUAGGAAAGUCCGGACAGCACAGAGCCAUGCACCGGUGAACAGCCGGGUUUCGAGAAAUCGAAAACAGCGAGUGCCACAGAAAAUAACUACCGACCGGUCAACCGGUUGGCAAAGGUGAAAACGUGGGGUAAGGGCCUACGGGGAACAUGGGUAACCAUGUUCUUGGGUAAACCUUGCAUGCUGAAAUGCCAUGUAAAGUACCGUUUGAGGGCGGCUCGUCCGAGGUACAGGGUAGGCAGCUUGAGCUUGGUGGGUAACUGCCAAGACAGAUCAAUGAUGACCCUCGACCGAAUCCGGCUUAUCGGCUUGUAGCAUUU
rnacentral:RNase_P_RNA from 1 species